rnacentral:rRNA from 1 species
GGGCAUGCGUCAGCUACCAUGCAGUCGAGGGGUAUAAGAAGCUUGCUUUUUAGAGACCGGCGGAUGGGUGAGUAACGCGUAUGCAACCUACCUUUUACAGGGGAAUAGCCCGGAGAAAUUCGGAUUAAUGCUCCAUGGUUUAUAUGGACGGCAUCGUUUGUAUAAUAAAGAUUUAUCGGUAAAAGAUGGGCAUGCGUAUCAUUAGCUAGUUGGUGUGGUAACGGCAUACCAAGGCAACGAUGAUUAGGGGUCCUGAGAGGGAGAUCCCCCACACUGGUACUGAGACACGGACCAGACUCCUACGGGAGGCAGCAGUGAGGAAUAUUGGUCAAUGGAGGCAACUCUGAACCAGCCAUGCCGCGUGCAGGAUGACGGUCCUAUGGAUUGUAAACUGCUUUUGUACGGGAAGAAAUGUAUCUACGUGUAGAUAUUUGACGGUACCGUAAGAAUAAGGAUCGGCUAACUCCGUGCCAGCAGCCGCGGUAAUACGGAGGAUCCGAGCGUUAUCCGGAAUUAUUGGGUUUAAAGGGUUCGUAGGCGGUUGAGUAAGUCAGUGGUGAAAUCUUAUAGCUUAACUAUAAAAUUGCCGUUGAUACUGCUUGACUUGAAUAGUAUGGAAGUAAUUAAAAUAUGUAGUGUAGCGGUGAAAUGCUUAGAUAUUACAUGGAAUACCAAUUGCGAAGGCAGAUUACUACGUACUUAUUGACGCUGAUGAACGAAAGCGUGGGUAGCGAACAGGAUUAGAUACCCUGGUAGUCCACGCCGUAAACGAUGGAUACUAGCUGUUCGGUUUUCGGACUGAGUGGCUAAUCGAAAGUGAUAAGUAUCCCACCUGGGGAAGUACGUUCGCAAGAAUGAAACUCAAAGGAAAUUGACGGGAGCCCGCACAAACGGUGAAGCAUGGGGUUUAAUUCGAUGAUACGCGAGGAAACCUUACCAAGGCUUAAAUGUACAUUGACAGGUUUAAAAGAUAGACUUUUUCUUCGGACAAUUUACAAGGUGCCUGCAUGGUUUGUCGUCAGCCUCGUGGCCGUGGAGGUGUCAGGGUUAAAGUCCUAAUAACGAGACGCAACCCCUUAUUGGUUAGAUGCCCAGCGGAUUCAAUGUCGGGGAACUUUAAACAAGAACUGGCCGGAUGCCAAACCGUGGAGGAAAGGUGGGGGAUGGACGUCAAAAUCAUCCACGGCCCCUUUACGUCCUUGGGGCUAACACCUUGCCUACAAAUGGGCCAGUUACAGAAGGCAACCUACCGGGGCCACCGGGAUGCAGAUUCUCAAAACCGGGUCCCCGUUUUGGAAUUGGUACC